rnacentral:rRNA from 1 species
UACGAAGGGGGCUAGCGUUGCUCGGAAUGACUGGGCGUAAAGGGCGCGUAGGCGGAUGGUACAGUCAGAUGUGAAAUUCCCGGGCUUAACCUGGGGGCUGCAUUUGAUACGUGCGAUCUGGAGUGAGGAAGAGGGUCGUGGAAUUCCCAGUGUAGAGGUGAAAUUCGUAGAUAUUGGGAAGAACACCGGUGGCGAAGGCGGCGACCUGGUCCUUUACUGACGCUGAGGCGCGAAAGCAUGGGGAGCAAACAGG